rnacentral:rRNA from 1 species
AUACGUAGGGUGCAAGCGUUAAUCGGAAUUACUGGGCGUAAAGCGUGCGCAGGCGGUUUUGUAAGACAGAGGUGAAAUCCCCGGGCUCAACCUGGGAACUGCCUUUUUGACUGCAAGGCUAGAGUACGGCAGAGGGGGAUGGAAUUCCGCGGGUAGCAGGGAAAUGCGUAGAUAUGCGGAGGAACACCGAUGGCGAAGGCAAUCCCCUGGGCCUGUACUGACGCUCAUGCACGAAAGCGUGGGGAGCAAACAGGAUUAGAUACCCUGGUAGUCCACGCCCUAAACGAUGUCAACUGGUUGUUGGGUCUUCAUUGACUCAGUAACGAAGCUAACGCGUGAAGUUGACCGCCUGGGGAGUACGGCCGCAAGGCUGAAACUCAAAGGAAUUGACGGGG